AGGAAGGAGCUGUUUACGUCCAGUAUCCAGAAUGAAAGCUUUCAACUGCAGCUUGCUGCAAAUUCCUCCCUAACAGUCAACCAGCAAUUAGAACUGUUUGUUACAGUGGCAGCCACAGAAGCAUUUCAAGCAACAAGGCAGAAGCCUGGGGAGACAGAACGAGAGCUGGUUCAUUUGAAGGGGACUAUCGCCACACAGCAGCUAAUCCUGGGAUAGCAGGCAAUUUGGGGAGCAUGGCUGUUUGCAACUUUGGAGAAAGACCUGAUCUUGAUUUUGCUGGGAGGAAAGAAACUGGGAAGCCCUGUUUGGGGUGUUUAGAAAGAGAGUAUUCACAUUCUAACUCAAUAUCUGAAUAUUCUAACCUGAUAUGAAAUACUAAGGAAUAAAUUGGGAACUUUACUUGUUAAUGUUGUAUUUGAGACAGUAUUGCAG
rnacentral:lncRNA from 1 species